GAGGGGGGUUUAAUCUGGACUGAAUUGGAGGAAAGGAACUGGCACCAGAGUGGAGGCUGGAAGGAUGGUGGAACUGACACUGGGACAGAACACAGAAAACAGAAUCUAAUGCUAGAGGAGGUCUGAUGGCCGGGAGGACAGGAAGAAGGAACCCACAAUAAAGCAAAAGUCGCGUUUAACUCUGUCCUCACCAUUCCUCUCCUGGGCCUGUCCUAAACUGGAAGCUGGGGGAGGAUGGAGUGCUGGAAUGCUGCAGAAGUCUCAUGGGAGGGCGCCUGGUGUUCACCACAUGUGUACCCUGUUGCACGACCAGAUGGAAAUUUGAAUGCUGGGGCUCAGUGGAACACCUGAAGGAAGCUGGUGAGGCAGAUGUCCCGCUAUGCCUUCCAAGUGUCAUGCAACCAGUUCAUGCCUGUCAGCAUCUCUGCCGGUGGACUCUGUGAGUCAGCAAAUCUACAGAGCAGAGAGCCACAAGUGGGGACAGAUGUGGUCAAAUGCCAUUUAAAUCAGUGAUUCUCAACCCAGGAGUUGUCAUGGCACUGGCCUUGAGUGAGCUGGACCAAGGGAAGUGGUAGAAUUCCCCAUGAAGGACCAAGUAAGCAGAUAGAACUUUCUCCAUUUUAACUUUUUCUGAGUCAAUUUAAAAAACACCUAGUGCCUUUUUCUGU
rnacentral:sRNA from 1 species